AGUCGAGGGGCAUCAGUUUGGUUUGCUUGCAAACCAAAGCUGGCGACCGGCGCACGGGUGAGUAACACGUAUCCAACCUGCCUCAUACUCGGGGAUAGCCUUUCGAAAGAAAGAUUAAUAUCCGAUAGCAUAUAUUUCCCGCAUGGGUUUUAUAUUAAAGAAAUUCGGUAUGAGAUGGGGAUGCGUUCCAUUAGUUUGUUGGGGGGGUAACGGCCCACCAAGACUACGAUGGAUAGGGGUUCUGAGAGGAAGGUCCCCCACAUUGGAACUGAGACACGGUCCAAACUCCUACGGGAGGCAGCAGUGAGGAAUAUUGGUCAAUGGACGCGAGUCUGAACCAGCCAAGUAGCGUGAAGGAUGACUGCCCUAUGGGUUGUAAACUUCUUUUAUAUGGGAAUAAAGUUGUCCACGUGUGGAUUUUUGUAUGUACCAUAUGAAUAAGGAUCGGCUAACUCCGUGCCAGCAGCCGCGGUAAUACGGAGGAUCCGAGCGUUAUCCGGAUUUAUUGGGUUUAAAGGGAGCGUAGGCGGAUUGUUAAGUCAGUUGUGAAAGUUUGCGGCUCAACCGUAAAAUUGCAGUUGAUACUGGCAGUCUUGAGUGCAGUAGAGGUGGGCGGAAUUCGUGGUGUAGCGGUGAAAUGCUUAGAUAUCACGAAGAACUCCGAUUGCGAAAGGCAGCUCACUGGGAGUGUAACUGA
rnacentral:rRNA from 1 species